rnacentral:rRNA from 1 species
ACCAAGGCUUGACAUCCCAUUGACGAGUAUAGAGAUAUACUAUUUCUUCGGAACAAUGGUGACAGGUGGUGCAUGGUUGUCGUCAGCUCGUGUCGUGAGAUGUUGGGUUAAGUCCCGCAACGAGCGCAACCCUUAAUCUUAGUUGCCAGCAUUAAGUUGGGCACUCUAAGGUGACUGCCGGUGAUAAACCGGAGGAAGGUGGGGAUGACGUCAAAUCAUCAUGCCCCUUAUGUCUUGGGCUACACACGUGCUACAAUGGCUGGUACAGAGGGUAGCAAAACCGUAAGGUCAAGCCAAUCCCAAAAAGCCAGUCUCAGUUCGGAUUGUAGGCUGCAACUCGCCUACAUGAAGUCGGAAUUGCUAGUAAUCGCGGAUCAGCAUGCCGCGGUGAAUACGUUCCCGGGCCUU